rnacentral:rRNA from 1 species
AUGGAUUGGAACCCUCAAGUCCUAUGUUGGAACGUGCGGGGGUUGAACAACAUGUCUAAAAGAAAUGCCGUGAGGAAUUUUAUUAGUGAGGCUAAGGUCAACUUGGUGUGUCUCCAAGAGACUAAACUUGAUGUAAUCGAUGUUUUCAUGGUUAUGCAAUGUAUAGGGCCAUCCUUUGAUGGCUUUGCUUACUUGCCAGCGACGGAUACUAGGGGUGGCAUUCUUGUCGGAUGG